rnacentral:rRNA from 1 species
GACGGAGGAUGCAAGCGUUAUCCGGAAUGAUUGGGCGUAAAGCGUCUGCAGGUGGCAGUUCAAGUCUGCUGUCAAAGACCGGGGCUUAACUUCGGAAAGGCAGUGGAAACUGAACAGCUAGAGUAUGGUAGGGGCAGAGGGAAUUCCUGGUGUAGCGGUGAAAUGCGUAGAGAUCAGGAAGAACAUCGGUGGCGAAGGCGCUCUGCUGGACCAUAACUGACACUCAGGGACGAAAGCUAGGGGAGCGAAUAGG